rnacentral:rRNA from 1 species
AACGAACGCUGGCGGCGCGCCUAAUACAUGCAAGUCGAGCGAGAAGACGUAGCAAUACGUUUGUAAAGCGGCGAACGGGUGAGGAAUACAGUGGGUAACCUACCCUCGAGUGGGAAUAACUAGCCGAAAGGUUAGCUAAUACCGCGUACGCUCCUUGGACUUCGGUUCAGGGAGGAAAGCGAUACCGUGGGUAUCGCGCUCUUGGAUGGGCUCAUGUCCUAUCAGCUUGUUGGUGAGGUAACGGCUCACCAAGGCUUCGACGGGUAGCUGGUCUGAGAGGACGAUCAGCCACACUGGCACUGCGACACGGGCCAGACUCCUACGGGAGGCAGCAGUAAGGAAUU